CUGGGCGGGCGGCCGGGCGGGAGCCGGGAACUUCCUUUCCCGGGGCGUCCCCUCCUCGCAGGGGCGCGCGGAGCCCGGCCGCCCCCUGCUGGCCCUGGGCGGUUCGAGGUGGGCCUGAAAAAGUGCGGAGGCCACGGAGCCGGCUCGCGAACGCCGGGGUCCCGGCGCGCAGGCGCGGGGGUAGUGGUCCGGGGGCGCGGCUCUGGCCGGGGGUUAAACCUCCUUCCAGCCUCUGCCCCCAGAGGGUUUAACACCUGGAGUUCCCGCCUGCGAUUUCUCUCUUGCGGCCCCUUGGGAAAGGGAAUGGCAGAUUGACUCUGAACUUGGCAAAGGACUUACAACGCUUUAGUAUUUAAAUGAAGGAGUGGGUCUGAAGAAGACCAAGGAUCUGUAAAACAAUCUUAUUUAAGCCUUCAGCUACCAGAGGCUGUGACAUAAACCCCAGGAAUUGAUUGAGAAGUAAUAGGUAGUUUUGAGGGCUUUUAUUUAAAGAACAAAGAUAGGAAGCUUUGCCUUGCUGUGUUUAUAAAAGCGAGGGAAGCCCCCCACCCGUAAUAUUUAGAAACACCUGGAGCCGACAAUGCUCUGGCAGCGUCCUGAAAUAAACUAAAGAAGCUGUUCACUCUGCUAUAAUCUGACAUCUUUGAAAAAUGUUUUUCAGAGGUGGAGGCGUCUUAAAAUUUAGACAUCAAGUGAGGACACAGAAAGAAAACACAGGCCUGUAACCCAGGAAGUGGAUUUCACCGGAAACUGAAUCUGCUGACACCUUGAACUUGGACUUCUCAGAUUCCAGAACUAAGGAGAGCCCAGGAAGCUAUAUUUAAAAACAAACAAACAAAAAAAAAAUGAGAUGAGCAUGGCAUGCACUUGACUUGCAGAACUACUGACUUAAAAAUAAUACCAGAGGAAUGGCCUGCUUGGAAAAUCCCCCAGUGAUGCUUUCACACGUUCAUCGUACCUUUCAUACUUACUACGCUCUUUAUCUGGAAUAUGUUCCAAACCAUUACCUCAUCCAAGACUCUCCCAGAUGAAGGAAUGGGCCUCAGAUGUCACAGAUAAGAGGUGGUAGGUCCCAGACACAAAGCCGGACAACUGGUUCCAGAGUCCAUACUCUUCACUCUGCAUUGCUGCCUAUUCCAGAACUCAGCAGUUAGUAGCUUCAAGAGCAAGUAGACUAUUCGCUAUCAUCCAGGUAUAAUAAUUUGUCGAUUGGAACUGUUUGGCCUCAAGAGGGCAAGCUUUGCAAAUUCAAUCCGGCUGAAUUGACAGAAAAAGUCCUGGAAUUCAAGACUAAUUUGCCUAGGAGCUUCCUUGAAGCAAAGGCCAUGAAGUCUCAGUCAGCAAUGUGUUGUCCAAUGUAUAUGGUUAUGGCAUUUUGAGUCAGUUAGAAUAUCAAGAAGGUUUCAAGAUUUGCUACAUAUUAAUUAAAUACGUGUUAGUGGUUGAAGGAUGAUCUAUCAACAAAACGACUUAGUCAAAAUUUCCAGACUCUGGCCCUUUGAAAACAAAACCGUGAGGCCAGACCCAGCAUAGUUGUCAUAAUUACAUAGAGAUACUCUGAAAAGCAAGAUACUGGGUCAAUCAUUUCCUUUUCCCAUCUCCCACCAAUUCUACAUUAACGUAUUUAUUGAUUCCAUCUUAGGAAUUGUUCGGGUUAAAUAUGAAAUGUCAAUGCAACCAAUACUGUUUUUACUUUCAUUAGUGUGGUGGUCAAGUAAGUCUAAGUUAAACUUCAUUAACAAAAACCCUCAAACUGCCGUGUCUUAACCUAGAACACGUUUAUUUUUUGCUCAUGUGGAAUCCUAUGUGGAUCUGGGCGAGGCUCUAGGCAGCUGCCCACCACAUGAUGAUUGGGAUCCAUGCUGCUUCCAUGUGGUGGUGUCAUCGCCAUAUAAACUUCUGCAUCUGAAAUCGCUACACCAGAGCAAGAGAAGACUGAACAGUCUUGCACCAGCUAUUAAACGCUUAACCCUGAAGUGACACACGUAUCUUCUGUUUACGGGGCAUUGGUGAGUGCUAGUCAUGAAAGCCUGUCUACAUCCACAGGGUUAGAAAAGUAGAAGUCUACCAUAUGGCUGGAAGGAGAAGACACCAGAAAUUUCUCCCAUAUGUUAGAUUACUGUUUCUAGAUUACACAGAGAAUAAGCAAACACAUUUAUAUUGUGAAAGACAAGGAGUUAUUUCAAUAGUUAUAAGUGCAUUAUAUAAUGAUCCCUAUUGAAGUAUAAAACGCUAAAACUGAGACAAUUGUCUAGUGGCAAAUAUAUUACGGGAAGUGUUUUGCCCAUUAUAUGUGCUUAAGCUUGGACCAGUGUUGAACCUUGGUUUAUUGACAAUUUGAGGUGGAGAAUUCUUUGUUGUAGGGGGCUUUUAGCAUUCCUGGUCAUUAUCCACAAGAUGCCAGUAACCAAGACCCCUCACCACCCAGAUGUGAUGACCGGAUAUAUCUCCAGACAUUGCCAAAUGUCCUCCAGAGGGCAAAAUCACUCAAGGUUGAGAACCACUGGUUUGAAACACCCUCCCUCUAAUUGUCGACCCCAAACCUUUGAGUUAACACAGUAACUUAUGCUAUGCGUAUAUACUUUGCAAUCUAUAAAACACAUUACGUGGCUUCAUCUCCAUUCAUACGAUAAUUAGAAGAGAAUGGUAUUGUUAUAUUUAACACAAGGAAACAAGUUGGAAAAGGUGAAAUGCUCUGUCCAUUUCAGGUGAGUAAAUGGCAGGGAGACAACUCAUUCUAAAACCUCUCACUCUGGACUCAUAAAUAGUCAUAAGUCUAUUGAAUACCUUCUGUACGACAGGCACUGUUGUAGCUAUAGAGGAUACAUACAUAAAAGGUCCAGUUCCUGCUCUCAGGAGACUCCGAGUCUAGUGGAUGAAAGAGGCGAAUUAACGUAAAAUUACAUUGGCGGUAAUUAAGUGCUGAUAGAAAGGUUUCCAGCGGUUCAGAGGGAGGCACUUCACCCGCAGGAGUCUCAGGCAAGCAGUGGAGAUACUGCAGAAGAAAGGAAGGAAUGAUAGGACGCAAGGGAACAACGAGAAUGUUGAAUUCCAUUUCUGACUCACUGCAGGGAAAAGGAGCUGAAAUAGACAGCACUCCUAAGCAGAUCAAAAAGAAAGGAAAGCAUGAUAGUCUGAGCUGUGAAAGGGAAGAAUUGUGAAAAAAUGCUAAUCCCCAAACCUGCAGGCAGGUGUUGUCUGAACAGUUGCCAGAGACACUAACACCCAGCACAUCACAGCUGUUCUGUUUGUUGAUUCAAAUGAAUCCCAUUGAGCAUUACAGAAAAGCAUUAAAAAUUAAAAAAAAAAAAAGCUCAAACUCUAUAUCUUUGAAGUAUAAGAAAAGUAAAUGAGCAAGAAUAGGUUAAAAGAAGGGAUCUC